AAAUGAAUAGACGGGGGCCCGCACAAGCGGCGGAGCAUGUGGCUUAAUUCGACGCAACGCGAAGAACCUUACCAAGGCUUGACAUACACCGGACGGUCGCAGAGAUGUGGCUUCCUUUUUGGCUGGUGUACAGGUGGUGCAUGGCUGUCGUCAGCUCGUGUCGUGAGAUGUUGGGUUAAGUCCCGCAACGAGCGCAACCCUUGUCCUGUGUUGCCAGCACGCCCUUUUGUGGUGGUGGGGACUCACGGGAGACUGCCGGGGUCAACUCGGAGGAAGGUGGGGACGACGUCAAGUCAUCAUGCCCCUUAUGUCUUGGGCUGCACACGUGCUACAAUGGCUGGUACAGUGGGCUGCGAUACCGUGAGGUGGAGCGAAUCCCUAAAAGCCAGUCUCAGUUCGGAUUGGGGUCUGCAACUCGACCCCAUGAAGUCGGAGUCGCUAGUAAUCGCAGAUCAGCAUUGCUGCGGUGAAUACGUUCCCGGGCCUUGUACACACCGCCCGU
rnacentral:rRNA from 1 species